ensembl:lncRNA
AUGUGCCAACGGUACGUUGACAUCGAAAAUCCAUCCACCUGCGUCCUCCAUGAGUGGAGUCAUCUAAGAGAUCUCACCACCAUAAGGAUGAAAUUCACACGUCCCGUCCAAAAUGUAGCGGGUAAGAUUUAUUUUAAAACCGUAUGUACUUGCCGAUGGAAAGCUUUGGACUAUAAAUAUAUUAGAGGGAGAAAAUACACAAUCUUUUUUUUUUCCAGCUUUUGUGCUUCACAUUUCACCAUCAUUCAUUUUUAAUUUUCAUCCUGGAAGCAUAUUCUUUUCCAUCUAUCCUUUGCUCAAGCAUGUCGGGGAAGUUUAAGCCAUCAAGACAAAAAGUUUUCCUUCUUUUUUUUUUUUUUUUUUUUUUUUUUCAUUCUUUGGGUGUCAUUGAGCUGAAAAUACCCGGUUAAAGAACGGCUGUUGGAAAGAUCAACUCGUGGACCGUGCUCUUGGUGCUGCUUGCUGUGUAUUAUUAUUCAGUGUCUCCUACGUGGGAAAGGCACUUGGCACUCAGGGUUUUGUAAAAGAUUUUCAAAAGGAUGUUAGAGCCUGCGUUCUGCUGUUACUCAGUCACGUUUGCAAAGGCACAGGUCUCCAGGUCCUUGAUGCUCAGCUUCCAUCUGCCAUCCACAGCAGCUCCUGGUCUGAUGCUCUGAGCCUGUCUCACUGUUAGCGCCACGCCUGAUAACUUCAGAGGGUUCUUGGUAUCCCCUUAACAUCCGUGUCCUGCUGGCCCCACUCAGUGAUGGAGAAGGAAAGCAGGGGCCAGAUUCGAGGACAGACAGCUCACACGGAAGGAGGGAAUGGACCAGCUCCAAGCUGAAUAAGGAGCUGGCUGCCUUUACCGUGUCUUGGGUCAUGUGCUGUAACUUAGCCCUGUUUGUGGCUGCCUCCUCUGGGUCUGGGAUCCUGGCUGUACCUGUCCAGGAUCUGAGAGACCACACCUGAGCUUCCUGCCUCCAGGGUCCAUUCCAUGCCCCGCCCACCCCACCAGCCCAGGAUCACUUCUCACUCUUUUCUCUCCUUUUCUCCUCAUGCUGCUUCCUUCCACUAGGAUAAACGUCAGCAAAUUAAGAUGACUGAAAUUAUCAGUGGCACUGAGGCUAGCCCAUUUCACACAUCAGACUAAGCACACAACACCCAAAUUGACUUAGUGGUUAGCAUCAUUUGAGAUUGUUGUCUUGCCGUUUGAAUAUCUCUUCUUCUUUUGAGGCUCGGUUUCAAGGCUGCACUCCCCUUUCAGCCACCACCCCGCACCCCGUUUUCAUGCCCACCCUCGAUGAAUGAAUCGUCUUAUUUAGCCCUCUCACAGUUUUUGGUUUAUCUUCUUGUGCUUUUUCUUUUGCUAAUAGAGAGUUGUUUGCAUGUUUUGAUUUAUUUAAGCUAUUUCAGGGCAGGGGUAAAACUGUACAUCAUCUGAUUUUCCAGCAGUUCUCCUAGAGACAACAGCUCCCUAGUCUGAGCUGAGAAUUCUAUUGUAAAACCCGUAAUGUUCAUCCCGCCCCACCUUCCUACCCUGAUGUGGUGAACGAUUGGAUUCUGUUAACGGGUGCAUCCCCAGAUAUAUCGACUUGAAUUACAGAUAUAUUGAUGCUGUUUUGUGUGUGUGUGAUUUGACUUUUUGAAAUGCACAGUUCUUUAAUUAUACAUUUGCAGUUUCAUGAAACUGCGAGGUUUGUGAAACCGUUUUCAUCCAUCUGGUGCAAUAAAAUACUCAAGGCAAAAGAAAAAUGUCUCCUU